ensembl:lncRNA
CCAUGAGGAACAAAUGAGAGGAAAGGAUGCCCAGGAACUCCUUCUAUCAGUACAGAAAUACCUCACCGAGAGAGGAAAAUGUCUGUACUUUACAUGAUAUUAUUCCGUGCAGUUACCAUAAACAUCACGUAAUCUCUGGUGGGUACGUAAAGAAGUACCUUGUAAAAGGUCUGGCUUUGAAAAUGUGCUGACGUACAGCUCCUGCGCGGCUGAGGCAGCAGUCCAGCUGGGCACCGGUGUGGAUCUUUGCUUCUCGUUCCACCUUUUUUAGGCUAUGUUUAUGGUGAAUCUAAGCUGCAGGACAGUUACCUGGAAAGCUCUGUGCACUAUUUCUAUUUUUAAAGGCUCAUAUAACUGCACUAAACAUGCUGGAUUUUAGCUUUUGUUGCUUUGCUGUCCUUAGACAUUCUCUGUGAAAACUGGCACGCGUAAGGGAAGGAGUGGAAAGAGAGAAGGCCCAGGUGGGUUCGUGCUGCCAUCAGAUCUAUGCAACCUCUUUCAGUUAACAUGACAAAAUUGUGCCGUGUUCUACCAGGAGCCAAAGGAAAGGGAAGGACAAAAAUGCCUAAAUUAUUGAACUACAAAAGGAUGGUUGCUGCUGCCUGGACAGACAAAGCCUGGUUAGAAACGUCGUGGAGCAGGUGGGGAGCACAGUGCCCCUCAGGUGAGGAUGCUCAGACCCGGUGCUGUGCAGGAGCCACGGUUAAAGCUGGCACGUGGCCACCAGCAGAGGUGCCUACCGGCUCCCUUGCAUGCAGGCAGGGACAGGACCUUGCCACUGCUCCUCAUCCUCGGGGCGUUGUCUGUCUUCCUGGGUGACAGCCACAGAAAGAGUGUGCAGAGGGUCGAUGGAGAGAGGCGAGCUCGUCCGUGAAACGAUGCAGCAGACAGCCUGGCUGCGGGUGCUCUGGACCCCCUGGAAGCAGGCUGCUGGUUUUACACCCGUGGAGGAAAGACAGGCUUGCCAGGAGGCAGCUUCAGGCACCCACAGGGAUCUGGUGCUGAGCGCGACACACGGGCUGUGGCACGGCGAUGCUGGGAAGGUUGUCUCGUGCACUCAUCUGUGAGAAGCCAACCCAACACUUCAGAGCCCUGGUUGGAAUGAAGCAACAUUUACGUGAAAGAAAGUUCUGCAAAAUAACACUCGUUCAGAAAAUUGCCAGUGCAGGACAAAGUGGGCCAGUGACUGCCACCUUCAGUGAGCUGUCGCAGCGAUACCUCCGGGCCAGGCGAUGUUCAGGUGACACACAAGCACGAGCAUCCAGCAUCACUUGCUGCUGGGAAAUGGCAGAGGAGCCGUAUGCAGCUUAUCUGCCCCGUGCAGGUACGUAAGCACAGCACGCUGUACGACUGAGCUGAGCAGGGAUCGCAGUGCCGAAAUGCACCGACUCGACCCGAUCUUGCAUGGUGCGGUACUACAAAGGUACUCCUGUAAUGUAUCAGUGAAGUACCCUAGCAUGGAUUAAAAGUUGCCAUAAGGCAGAGCUCAGAAACAAAAGUUUUCAAGGGGGAAACAUGUCAGUGAGAGAUAAUUCUCGGAUCGUUACCCAUUUUAGGGUUGUUCUGCAUUUCGUUUGCCCACCUGGAAGCACACAAACGACAUCAGGCAAUGAAGGGGAAGUGAGCAAGCUUGCGUGCAGGUAUCAUGCUGCAGCGAGCUUCAGGAGAUCAGCCGGUCCUCUGCCACCUGCGGCAGGGUUAGGUAUAAUUAAGCCGCGUUUGUCAGAUACCAAAACGUGUCAAGUCUGUCUCAAAAUUCACAAACGAGAGGUAUUCCGCCCCCUCCCUAAUUAAGUUCUUCCAGCGCGCAGCUUCCAGG